AGUGGUGGAGUGAUGGUGUGAUGGUGUGGUGGAGUGGUGGGGUGAUGAGUGAUGGAGUGGUGGGGUGAUGGAGCGAUGGAGAGGUUUAGUGGUGGAGUGAUGGAGUGAUGGUGUGAUGGAGAGGUGGAGUGAUGGAGGAAUGGUGUGGCAGGGUGAUGGAGGAAUGGAGUGAUGGAGUGGUGGAGGAAUGGUGUGGUAGGGUGAUGGAGUGAUGGAGUGGUGGUGUGAUGGAGUGGUGGAGUGAUGGAGAAAUGGUGUGGUAGGGUGAUGGAGUGAUGGAGUGGUGGAGUGAUGGUGUGGUGGAGUGAUGGGGUGAUGGUGUGAUGGAGUGGUGGGGUGAUGAGUGAUGGAGUGGUGGGGUGAUGGAGCGAUGGAGAGGUGGGGUGAUGGAGUGAUGGUAUGGUGGAGUGGUGGAGU
ensembl:lncRNA